UGUAACGGAGGCGCCCAAAGGUUCCCUCAGAAUGGUUGGAAAUCAUUCGCAGAGUGUAAAGGUAAAAGGGAGCUUGACUGCGAGAGAGACAACUCGAGCAGGUACGAAAGUAGGGCUUAGUGAUCUGGUGGUACCGUAUGGAAGGGCCAUCACUCAACGGAUAAAAGCUACCCUGGGGAUAACAGGCUUAUCUCCCCCAAGAGUUCACAUCGACGGGGAGGUUUGGCACCUCGAUGUCGGCUCGUCGCAUCCUGGGGCUGAAGU
rnacentral:rRNA from 1 species